ACCUACCACUGCUAAUCUAUGCCACUGCCAACCUAUCUAUCACUGCUAAUCUAUCACUGCUGCCAAUCUAUCUACCACUGCCAAUCUAUCUAUUGCUGCCAAUCUAUCUACCACUGCUAAUCUAUUACUGCUAAUCUAUCACUGCUAAUCUAUCACUGCUAAUCUAUUGCUGCUAAUCUAUCUAUCACUGCUAAUCUAUCACUGCCAAUCUAUCUAUCACUGCCAAUCUAUCUACCACUGCCAAUCUACCUACCGCUGCCAAUCUACCUACCACUGCUAAUCUAUUACUGCUAAUCUAUCACUGCUAAUCUAUUGCUGCUAAUCUAUCACUGCUAAUCUAUUGCUGCUAAUCUAUCUAUCACUGCUAAUCUAUCACUGCCAAUCUAUCUACUGCUGCCAAUCUAUCUACUGCUGCCAAUCUAUCUACCACUGCCAACCUACCUACCACUGCUAAUCUAUCACUGCUAAUCUAUUGCUGCCAAUCUAUAUAGAAUAAAUUAUGGUCUCAUUUGAUCCCAUUUUGUAAAAUGGAAUCAAAUGAAACUGAGAUCACUAAUUUAUUAGUAAAACAUGAUCUGAGACUAGAUUUAUAAUAUAAACAGUGUAAAGUGAUUAAUUUACUAAACACUAUAUGGGACC
rnacentral:sRNA from 2 species